rnacentral:rRNA from 1 species
AGGUGCUGCAUGGCUGUCGUCAGCUCGUGUCGUGAGAUGUUGGGUUAAGUCCCGCAACGAGCGCAACCCUUGCCAUUAGUUGCUACGAAAGGGCACUCUAAUGGGACUGCCGGUGACAAACCGGAGGAAGGUGGGGAUGACGUCAAGUCCUCAUGGCCCUUAUAGGUGGGGCUACACACGUCAUACAAUGGCUGGUACAGAGGGUUGCCAACCCGCGAGGGGGAGCCAAUCCCACAAAGCCAGUCGUAGUCCGGAUCGCAGUCUGCAACUCGACUGCGUGAAGUCGGAAUCGCUAGUAAUCGCGGAUCAGAAUGUCGCGGUGAAUACGUUCCCGGGUCUUG